rnacentral:rRNA from 1 species
UACGUAGGGGGCAAGGCGUUGUCCGGAUUUAUUGGGCGUAAAGAGCGUGUAGGCGGCUUGGUAGGUCCGCUGUGAAAACUCGAGGCUCAACCUCGAGAUGUCGGCGGAAACCACUUGGCUAGAGUCCGGAAGAGGAGAGUGGAAUUCCUGGUGUAGCGGUGAAAUGCGCAGAUAUCAGGAAGAACACCUAUGGCGAAGGCAGCUCUCUGGGACGGUACUGACGCUGAGACGCGAAAGCGUGGGGAGCGAACAGG